GUUGGCGCUUCUCAUGGCCUCAUCAUAUGAGGUGGGAUCACCCUCCAUAUGAAAUUCCUCUGUGUUAAAAACUUCAUAGUCAUCUGGGAUAGCUGACCUUCUGAUUCUUUGAGAUCUUCUCGGUGCCUCCACAGUUGGCACUUGAUCUGGUUGGGGCUGUUGUUGCUCCCCCUCGCCUGUGGCAACUGGUUCUUCUAUGGGCUCCUGAAGGACAGGUUCCUCAUUUUCAUCUGUUGUUGCCACAGGAGAGUGAGCAAUUGUUUCUGGCAUCACAGUGUCGGGCACUGUUGGUGCAUUCACAAUGGGUAAUUCAAAAAAUGGCUCUUGAAUCAUCGGAGUGGGUGCAUACACCCGCUUCUCUUCAAGAUCAAUCUUUCGAGCUACCACGCUCCCCCUGAUCAGCUCAUCCUCUAGAAAUACGGCGUGUCUCGUUUCUACAAACUUUGUAUAUCUGUCUGGACAGUAGAAACGAUAACCCUUUGAUUUUUCUGGGUAGCCAAUGAAAUGGCAACUGACUGUUUUGGGAUCUAGCUUUCCAAUGUUUGGGUUAAAUACUUUAGCCUCAGCUGGGCUCCCCCACACACGCAAGUGGCUUAGCGAGGGAACUCUUCCUGUCCACAACUCAUACGGUGUUUUAGGCACCGAUUUACUGGGAACUCUGUUUAGAAUGUGAAUGGCGGUUUUUAAUGCCUCCAUCCACAAACUUAGUGGUAAUGUAGAGUAACUAAUCAUACUUCGCACCAUAUCCAUCAGGGUACGGUUGCGUCUUUCAGCUACUCCAUUCUGCUGAGGCUCGCCCGGUGUAGAAUACUGGGCUACUAUGCCAUGCUCCUGUAAGAACUUUGCAAAAGGUCCAGGAACUUGGCCAUAAGGGGUGUGCCGACCAUAGUACUCCCCUCCACGGUCGGAUCUGACUAUCUUAAUCUUUAAGUUGUGCUGAUUUUCAACUUCAGCCUUAAAUAUCUUGAACUUAUCUAAUGCCUCUGUUCUUUCUUUAAUUGGAUAAAUAUACCCAAAUCGGGAGUAAUCAUCUGUGAAUGUUAUGAACGAGUCAUAGCCAUCCAUACUUUUCACAGGAAACGGUCCACAGAUGUCCGUGUGGAUUAUUUCUAAAAUCCCAGUGCUUCUUUUGGCAUUCUUUUUAAUUUUCUUUGCAAAUUUUCCUUUAAUGCAGUCUAUGCAUUGAUCUAAUUCUGAGAACUCAAGUGGAGGAAGAAUUUCAUUCUUUACUAAUAUCUCUAUUCUCCCCCUCGAAAUGUGGCCUAAACGACAAUGCCAUAAUUUCGACGAUACAUCUUGAGUUCGCUUUCUUUUUCUAUUCUCACUCUGAGACAAGGACGUGUUUUCUGUAGCAUCACAUACGGAAUUCACUGUUUCACGAAGCGAUAAUAAAUAAAGAUCUUGUUGUUGGAAUGCAACACCAACACAGUCAUUAUUACAAUAAAUCUGGCACUUGCCAUCACCAAAAUGACAAGCAAAAUUAUCAUCGUCCAAACGUGAAACACUAAUCAAAUUUCUCUGAAGCGAAGGAACAUAAAGGACAUCUCUAAGUAAAAGUGUGAAGCCACUAGCAAGCUCCAGGGAGACAUCGCCAACAGCUUCAACAUCUGCUCUGACUCCAUUCGCCACUCUAAUGUGUCUUUCUCUUCUUGUUGUCGUCCUUGUCGAGCUGAACCCCUGUAAAGAAUUAGCAACAUGAACAGUUGCACCUGAGUCAACCCACCAAGUGGAUUUAGAAUAACUUAUAUACAGGGAUUCAUUUACAAAGGUAAUAAUAUUCUCACCACAUGAUCUGAGUUUCAUCUGUAGCCAAUCAGGGCAUCUUUUCUUGUAGUGUCCUUCUUUCUUGCAGUAGAGACAUUGGUUUUGGUUCACUACAAACUGGUUCUGUUGAGGGAGAUGCUGCAUGGUAGGCUGAGACUGGUUCUGGCCCUGGUGCUGGGUGGAAGGCUUGCCCUGUUGCUGCAUAGGGCCCUUUCCCUUGUUCUUUGAAGGAGAAUGUUAACAACAAAGGUUUCAAAUUCUUUUGGCAACGACGCAAAAACCAAAUGAACAAGGAAAGCAUCAGUGAUGGUGGCACGGGCUGGACGGGACGCUCUGUGUCAAGGACCCAGUCCACCUCAGCAAAGGUGAAGGCCAUGUCGAUCUUUUUCCUCCACUCAACGUAGUUGUCCCCUUUGAGUGGUGGAAUGGUGUUGAUGAACGUCAUCAACGAGUAAGCUCCUGAAACACAAACCUCUGGGUGAGAACAUAAAUAAUCACAAUUGUAUGCCUUAGUAUCAACGUUGGUCAAAAUUAAAACAUACAACUGUUUAUGCAAUAAAACUAUAUCACCGUUGGGCAGAAAUAGAAUUAAUGCAUAAUAAUCUUUUAAUCACAUCAUAAUACUGCCAUUAAUCAACGUUGGUCAGAAUAAUAACAAUAUUAUAAUAAUCUGGAAAACAUAUCUAUGUUCAAAGAUUAAAUUCUCCCGUUGGUUCGAAUUUAAUAGUGAAAGAAAUAUCGUCGAGAGAAGGAGCAGCAGGGGCGGCGGAAGACGAUCCCGAGGCCAUCACGUCGGUGGUGGAGUGGAUCUUCGAGGACGUCGAUGGUGGCGGUGAUGCGGAUGUCGAGGUGGCGCAGAUCCGGCGUCGGUGAGUUUUCCCGUCGCUGGCUGCGCUUCCCUGAUCGGCUAGGGUUUUCUAGGGUUUGUAGAUGUCGGUGGGGAGGAGUGGCAACUGUUCAACUCGUGAACAGUGCCGCCGGCCCCCACCUCUUAUUUAUAGCGCAGUGCGACGGGGCCCACCAACCAUAUAGGGUUGGGCGCCCCCGAUCAGGGCGCGAGACAAGGCCCAAUAAGGCCGUUGGGCCAUAUUGGUGGGAGAUCAAACCAACAAACCCAAGUCUCUAAAUUAAGCCUAGGAGCUCAAAUUAAGACCCAACUCCAACCCACCUCCUAAACAAGUAGGAUAGGAGGUUCUAGAUACGAGGGGUUGAAACUAAGGGCAUGGAAAAUGGGAGCCGAGGUGGGUUGGAGUUGAUUUUUUUGAAUCAAGUCCCUAGAUUUACAAUAGGGACUUGUUUAGAAGGUGGGUUGGAGUUGCUCUUAGUAGGCAUAAUAUAUGUACACUUGCAAUUAGAUGGGAUCUGAUAACAAAUAGCCCAGGGUAGCUUAGAUUAGGUUUUGGGUGCUCGGUUUGGUUCGGCAGGAAGCGAAGAGACGGGGC